rnacentral:lncRNA from 1 species
CAUAUACACAAACACAUAUGCAUAUGAUUUAAAAAUACUAAAAAAAAGUCACUAGAAAGAAGAAAGUUUCUACUUAGUUCAAUGUAAUUAUCAUGGAGAGAAAGUGAGUUAAAAAAUAGAAGUUCUUGUCUGGAACAUAAUGUUCCUCAGAUGUUAGGUUUUGGGUGGUUUUGUUUUGUUUUUUAUUGAUGGGAGAAAGGCCCAGGACCUUGGAUAUUCUAGGUAUGCACUGUGAGCUGCAUCCCUAACUCUUGCUUUGUUUGUUUGCUUGUUUUUUUAGACCUUAUCUGUUUAGCCCAGGCUGGCCCAAAACUGCUGCUCUCCUACCUCUAGUCUCCAGCACUAGGGUUACACUCCUCUGUGUGCCACCUCACCUAGCACGUAGAUGUAUUCUUGAAGACUUGUUGGGAUAGACGGUUUAAAUUGUGAAUUGAGAACAAGAAGCAUCCUUAAUGGAUAAGCCUUUUCUCCCAUCCCUUUAAAUUGUGGUUUCAGAAUAGUUAGUUAAUUGUAUUUAUUUACUAUGAGCUAGACAGUGUCCUAAACAUUUAAUUCUCACAAGCUAUGAUGUGGAUAGCUUUGUGGGGGAGGAGCAGAACCACAAAGAUGCAGUGAUGUGAGGGUUGGAGCUGAGACUUAGGCUGAGGUUUCAGCAAAGGGUGUCUGUUCCAGCCUCAGUCUAUCACUGCGCUGGAAUACUGACUUGCAGAUGGUGGGGACGAACUAGCGAAUGUCCUCAAAGUCCUCAUUUCCUAUUUCUACUAUGAUUAUGUUCUGGAUGAAAUGCUUUUAAAUGAAUUAUGCUCAAUGUGAAUAUAAUCACGUAGUAUUGAAAAGCUACACAAAACUAUAAAGAUAGAUUGUCAUUGAGAAGCACAGAUGGCUUCAUUCUGUCCCCCAUGUUCUAAGAAAGUCAUCUGCAAUUAAAUAUUUGUAACAGAAAAUCCAGUGAAAUUCGAAGCUUAGUUUGUAAAUACACGGAGUAGGCUAUUCUUGUUUAAUUUGACUCAUAGCUGACUGCAUAGGUGUAGGCCGUCAUUGUAACGGGGUUUUCUUUCCAUGCAGCUGCACUGAAACUUUGUUCUGCAUAGGUUAAUAAGAGGAAUAGUCUUUACUAGAACUUUGGGCAUUAGAGCAAAGAAAUAGAUACAUUAGGAGUGCUUUGAGUUCUGACUUAGCCAUUUUAUGUCCCCGUGGUUAUCUCUGUGUUACACAUUAACUAAACAUUCAGGAAUUAGGUAGCCCUUGGACCUUUGCUGUCAGUAAGUAUACUGUAAUUCUAGUCAGAAUAUCUAUCUAUCUAUCUAGAGAUUUUAGGGCUCUGUGUGCUUUACUAAUGAUUUCUAAACCCAAACACCAGCUUAAAAAAAAUAACAAUUUGUUUUCCUUUUAGAAAUUAUUCUGAAAUUAACUUCUACCCACUCCUUGCUAGUGUUUUUUAUGAGAUUAUAUAAGCAGUUAAAAAUUAAUAAAAAGGAUUUAUCUGACACUUUUUUUUUAGCUUAUCUAGGUCAUUAGUGCAUUUGUUUCCCCUUGUAUAUAAUCAUAAGAAGUUAAAACAAAACUUCCAUAUACUUUUUCCAUACCUCAGAACUUGCUCCGUAGUGAAGGAAAGACUCAGAUAUGUGACCCUUCCUUCCUUCCUGAAAAAUUAGAAUUACAGCACAAGUGCAUCCAAACACUAAUCUAUGUGCAGAGCACUUUAUUUGGUUCUCUAUAAUCCAUGCUAUCCUGUUUAAAUUUCAUAUUAUCCAAUGAGGUAGUGACCUUUUACAAGUGUAGAAACAGGGCCCAGAAGAGCUAAGCAACAUCUAACAGCAUAUUUAAUAGUAGCAGAGGCGGGCUCCCAAACUCGGGGGGCAAGUGUGUAUCCUACCUUACCUAGCACGCCUUUGCUGUGUUUUCUCCCUGUUGAUUGUUUGUUGUGUUGUUUUGAUUCUGGGUCUUACUCUGUAGCUCUGGCUGUCCUGGAACUCACUGUGUAAGCCAGGCUCUCCGUCCAGGUUUUUAAGAUGGCCUCUUGUCGCUAGGUUGGCCUGGCACUCCUGACCUCCUGCAGGCUUGUAGCACUGUGUAGCACUGUGCCCAGUUUGUCUCUAGUACUUUGUAAAAAAAAAGAGUUUCUUUUCUUGUUCGCUUUCUUUGAGACAGGGUCUCUGUAGCUGAGCUGGCCUCACACUUGCUCUGUAGUGGAAGAUGACCUCAAACUCUUCUUCCUCUUGCUUCCACUGUGGAGGGCUGACCUGACAGGUGUGCGCCAUCACACCUAACUUCUAAAAGGAGCUUCUUGUCUCUUAGUGUCCGGGUGCUUGAAUGUUGGUGCAUCACCGUGAUAUUGUUUCAUCAGAAUAAUAAUGUUUUUAUUUUUAAAUUAAAAUGAUUACUAUCUGUAUGUACGUGGGUGGGUGCAGGUGUGCCCUGUGUGCAGGUGGGGUCCAAAGACAGCGUUGGUGUCCGUUGUACCCUGGGUGUCACACUCAAGGUCAAACACAGGCUGCUGAGUUUGCCUCCUCAACCUUAAUUCACUGAGCUACCUUGCCUGCCUUUCCUAGUGUUUUUUUAAUCUAAUAUUUUUUAUUGUUGUUGAUUUAAAACAGGGUCCUGUGGACCUAGUCUGUCCUGGAAGUAGCUGAGGCAGAAUAUGUCCUUGAACUCUUGAUUGUCCCACUUCCUCUGGAGUGCUGGGGCUACAGGGUCUGUGGCCUGCUAGGUUGGCACUCUAACCAUUCAGUUAUAGCCGUAUGUGUGUGUGUGUGUGUGUGUGUGUGUGUGUGUGUGUGUGUGUGUAUACUCACAAUUUGAUGAUGAUAGAAAAACUGAAUACUCAAACAUAGGCAGUUUAAUUUUGGAGUUAAACUUCUGAACUCACACUUGGCUGUUUCUUGUCACCUUGCGCAAAUUGCCUAACUUUCUAUACCUUAAUUUUAUGAUUCAAGUAGAAACAAUUUGAAUGCAUACAACUCAAGUCUGCAGCCCUUUUAUAGAGGCGAAUGAAGUGACCUUGCUCCUCUGAAGGGCACCUAGGGCCCUGAGUGCAGAGUGCAGCCACAGAGCUCCGAGAGCGUUUCCUCACUAGAGGAAGGGUUCAGAAACGCAGGGAAGGGGAAAGUGGGUGUGAGAGUUGGUACAUUUCUGUGUCUGUGAUGACCCGGAUUCAGAGGACAUCUUUCAAAGCUGACAAAUGCAUCAGUAGAAAUGCAAGCAUAUUUAGCUACACGAAGGUAAAUCCUGAGAGAUGAUGCUCCUGACUUAGCCAGGAUCAUGAGAGCAGCAGGAAGAUUCUGUGAGCCAGGGCUGGAAAGAUGGCUCAGCAGUUAAGAGCACUUUCUUCUUUUGCAGAAGACCCAGGUUCUCACAACCACUUCUAACCCUAAUUCCAGUGACUGACACCGCCCUCUGGUCCCUAAGGUCACUGUGUAUUGUAUACACACACAGUAUACAGACAUCCACACAGUAUAAAAACAUCCACAUACGUAAAAAUAAAUUUAGGUAAGAUUAUAUGAGCUAACUUCAUAUGUACAGCUAGAGUUAAUGAAUAAAUUGAGGACUAAUGCCAUUAAAUAUAAUUAUUUAAAAUUACAAAGAACUUGAAGUAUAUUGAAAUGAAAAUCAAAACGUUUU